CCUACGGGUGGCAGCAGUGAGGAAUAUUGGUCAAUGGACGCAAGUCUGAACCAGCCAUGCCGCGUGCAGGAAGACGGCUCUAUGAGUUGUAAACUGCUUUUGUACGAGGGUAAACGCAGAUACGCGUAUCUGUCUGAAAGUAUCGUACGAAUAAGGAUCGGCUAACUCCGUGCCAGCAGCCGCGGUAAUACGGAGGAUUCAAGCGUUAUCCGGAUUUAUUGGGUUUAACGGGUGCGUAGGCGGUAGGAUAAGUUAGAGGUGAAAUCCCGAGGCUCAACCUCGGAAUUGCCUCUGAUACUGGUCGUCUAGAGAGUAGUUGCGGUAGGCGGAAUGUAUGGUGUAGCGGUGAAAUGCUUAGAGAUCAUACAGAACACCGAUUGCGAAGGCAGCUUACCAAGCUACUUCUGACGUUGAGGCACGAAAGCGUGGGGAGCAAACAGGAUUAGAUACCCCUGUAGUC
rnacentral:rRNA from 1 species